AUUGAACGCUGGCGGCAGGCCUAACACAUGCAAGUCGAACGGUAACAGGAAACAGCUUGCUGUUUCGCUGACGAGUGGCGGACGGGUGAGUAAUGUCUGGGAAACUGCCUGAUGGAGGGGGAUAACUACUGGAAACGGUAGCUAAUACCACAUAACGUCGCAAGACCAAAGAGGGGGACCCUCGGGCCUCUUGCCAUCGGAUGUGCCCAGAUGGGAUUAGCUUGUUGGUGGGGUAACGGCUCACCAAGGCGACGAUCCCUAGCUGGUCUGAGAGGAUGACCAGCCACACUGGAACUGAGACACGGUCCAGACUCCUACGGGAGGCAGCAGUGGGGAAUAUUGCACAAUGGGCGCAAGCCUGAUGCAGCCAUGCCGCGUGUAUGAAGAAGGCCUUCGGGUUGUAAAGUACUUUCAGCGGGGAGGAAGGGAGUAAAGUUAAUACCUUUGCUCAUUGACGUUACCCGCAGAAGAAGCACCGGCUAACUCCGUG
rnacentral:rRNA from 1 species